UACGUAGGGUGCAAGCGUUGUCCGGAAUUAUUGGGCGUAAAGAGCUCGUAGGCGGUCUGUUGCGUCGGCUGUGAAAACCCGGGGCUCAACCUCGGGUCUGCAGUCGAUACGAGCAAACUAGAGUGUUGCAGGGGAGACUGGAAUUCCUGGUGUAGCGGUGAAAUGCGCAGAUAUCAGGAGGAACACCGGUGGCGAAGGCGGGUCUCUGGGCAACAACUGACGCUGAGGAGCGAAAGCGUGGGGAGCGAACAGG
rnacentral:rRNA from 1 species